rnacentral:rRNA from 2 species
UAAAUGCGGAAGAGAUAAGUGCUGAAAGCAUCUAAGCACGAAACUUGCCCCGAGAUGAGUUCUCCCUGACUCCUUGAGAGUCCUGAAGGAACGUUGAAGACGACGACGUUGAUAGGCCGGGUGUGUAAGCGCAGCGAUGCGUUGAGCUAACCGGUACUAAUGAACCGUGAGGCUUAACCUUACAACGCCGAAGGUGUUU